rnacentral:rRNA from 1 species
GGAAUCUUGCGCAAUGGGCGAAAGCCUGACGCAGCAACGCCGCGUGCGGGAAGAAGGCUUUCGGGCUGUAAACCGCUUUCAGUAGGAACGAAACUGACGGUACCUACAGAAGAAGGAGCGGCCAACUAUGUGCCAGCAGCCGCGGUGACACAUAGGCUCCAAGCGUUGUCCGGAUUUAUUGGGCGUAAAGAGCUCGUAGGCGGUUGAGUAAGUCGGGUGUGAAAACUUUGGGCUUAACCCAAAGAUGCCACUCGAUACUGCUUUGACUUGAGUUCGGUAGGGGAGUGGGGAAUUCCUUGUGUAGCGGUGAAAUGCGCAGAUAUAAGGAGGAACACCGGUGGCGAAGGCGCCACUCUGGGCCGAUACUGACGCUGAGGAGCGAAAGCGUGGGGAGCAAGCAGGAUUAGAUACCCUGGUAGUCCACGCGGUAAACGGUGGUCACUAGGUGUGGGUCUCUUCAAACGAGAUCUGCGCCGUCGCUAACGCAUUAAGUGACCCGCCUGGGGAGUACGGUCGCAAGACUAAAACUCAAAUGAAUUGACGG